rnacentral:lncRNA from 1 species
CUAAUUAAUGGUUAAACCGAAUAGUAUUAACUUGUGCCAGCACCACCUUGCGUGAGGAGUCUCUACCGAGGCCGACAUCUAUUGCUCCGACAAUAACCCAUGAGUGUCAAUCAUAAAUCGACAGUAUCACACACCAUAGAUAUAGGAUAAGUCUGCCUUCGACAUUUACACAAGUUGUAGUAUGUAGAAUACUGAAAUGAAAAACAACGUAGCACAAAACAAAUUAAUCAAGAAACAAUAUGAUAGGAGUUAAGCACCACAUUGAGUUUACUAUUCUACUCAAUGUGGGACUCCUAACAUUGUCGUCCCCUUUAAGGGUCGACGUCCAUAGCAGUUUUCAAUCUAUCGACAUUGGCUCGAUGGUAGCACUUUCUCUUUUGGCGGCUUCAGUCAAUUAUCACGAUCCGCUAAUGUACCUUAAUCCAGCCGCUAGGUAGCCCUUUCUAUGAUAUAACUCUCAAUGAAAGACACCAAUGAUAGGACUUAAGCACAUUAGCCCAAAAGAGUAGUCUACUAGGGAGGAGAGCCCCAGAAGAGUACUCAAUGUGGGACUCCUAAUACAAUAACACACGGUUUAGAACUUUGAGUUCAAUUCACCAAUCAAUAUAAGCAGUAAACAAAAAUCUUCCUACACUUAAAGAAACAUGGUACUUUACCAGUUGUGCUUGUCUCCACCGACUUCAAGCUGUGAUCUACGGCUACCAAUGGUCUCUUCCAUCAUCUUUGAGAUGCAUUGAAGCCUUCGGGCUGGCCAGAGUGCAUAAAACCAUUAUAGAGCCCCUUUGCUCUUUCGUGGCACGACCAUGAGGCAUCGUUCGUCACCGCCUUCAUCUGUCGUCAUGGAUUAGGAAAGCCGCAUGUAGAGAAGACAAUGGUAGGUCGACCCACGGAUGAGGCAACGACAGUUAACCGCUCCGCUGGGACUUCGUCGUCUUUAUCUAUCGACGCUAUGGAGGAUAUACUCGGUAUUUCUGAGGUCCUUUAGCCCCUUCUCCAUCAAUCGAAUCACCUUGAACCCUUGAUCCAAAGGUAUCUUGCCUUUGGGUCGUGAACCGCCAACGAUGAAAAAGGGAUCAUGCACUUGAAGCUUCACCUUGCUAUGUCUCCUUGGCUGGCUUGACCUUCGUGAAAGCAUAAUCCAUGGCCACCAUCGCUGGAGAGGAGAGGAGAAUUUGGGAUUUCCACUCCCUUUUCAAUUUCCUGUCUUUAUUUAAUAGGGGGAACCCCUUUAC